rnacentral:rRNA from 1 species
CAUUGGAAACUGUUAACCUAGAGUUUGGUAGAGAGUUCUGGAACUCCAUGUGGAGCGGUGGAAUGCGUAGAUAUAUGGAAGAACACCAGUUGCGAAGGCGAGAACUUGGGCCACAACUGACGCUUAGGCUCGAAAGUGUGGGGAGCAAAUAGGAUUAGAUACCCUAGUAGUCCACACCGUAAACGAUGGGUGUUAAACGUCGGGAUUUAAUCUCGGUGUUGUAGUUAACACAUUAAACACCCUGCCUGGGUAGUACAUUCGCAAGAAUGAAACUCAAACGGAAUUGACGGGGACCCGCACAAGUGGUGGAGCAUGUUGUUUAAUUCGACGAUACACGUAGAACCUUACCUAGACUUGACAUCCUUGGCGAAGUUAUAGAAAUAUAAUGGAGGUUAACCGAGAGACAGGUGGUGCAUGGUUGUCGUCAGCUCGUGUCGUGAGAUGUUGGGUUAAGUCCCGCAACGAGCGCAACCCUUAUCGUUAGUUAUUUUGUCUAACGAGACUGCCAACGCAAGUUGGAGGAAGGUGGGGAUGACGUCAAAUCAUCAUGCCCCUUAUGUCUAGGGCCACAAACGUGCUACAAUGGUCGGUACAAACAGUCGCUAAUUCGUAAGAUAGAGCUAAUCUGUAAAGCCGAUCUCAGUUCGGAUAGAGGGCUGAAAUUCGCCCUCUUGAAGUUGGAAUCACUAGUAAUCGCGAAUCAGCCAUGUCGCGGUGAAUACGUUCUCGGGUCUUGUACACACCGCCCGU